GCAGCUCUAAGCUGGUCGUAAACUCCAUCUAAGGCUAAAUAUCGCCACGAGACCGAUAGCGAACAAGUACUAUGAGGGAAAGUUGAAAAGAACUUUGAACAGAGAGUUAAAGAGUACGUGAAACCGUUCAGGGGUAAACCUGAGAAACCCAAAAGAUCGAUCGGGGAGAUUUAUCGUUUAGCACUUGUCGGCUUGCGUGUGAUUAACGAUGUCGGUGGCUUCGGUCGCUGGACGCGGUCGCUGCGUCAUGCCCGGCGUCGCCGUCAUGCACUUCUCCCCUAGUAGGACGUCGCAACACGUUGGGCGUCGGCCGACGGCCAGGUCGGUUGACCGUGGCGCAGGCUCUCACGAGUACUUGCGCCAUGGACCGCUAGUGUUUCCCGGCCCGACUGCCCGACGGUAGAGAUUUUUGUCAAUAAGGUAUUGGGCCGCGUUCUAAGCGCGUCUCGGCUCGUCGACAGGCUGGCCUCGCUCGGAUUUACGGACCUU
rnacentral:rRNA from 1 species